AUCGUUCAUCUCUUUAAGACUGUGAUACCACAUUGUGUCUUGAUCAGGUAACUUAUCUGGUUAACAGAAAAAACCAAAAUGUUUGUAGUGAGGGGAGCAUACCAAUUUUUUCAAAAUACCGCAAAGCAAAGGGUUUAAACUUUGCUAAUAGCGCAAGUCGUCUUUAUACGACUUCAUAAAAUCAAACAGUCUGCUUAAGCAGACUUUGACUAUAAGACUGCGAUUUCAAUCGCAGGCGUUUUUUUGAACAUUUGGGAUGCUCCCGUAGUGAGCGCUUAAGCGAUCAACUAAGCACGAAAAGUGCCUACUACGAGCUACUUACAAGCCAAUGACCAAAUGACGCUUUUGAUUACAUUACAGCGAAUGGGGGAAAUCACCUUAAGAGACGGAAGUAAGGAGAUAUCCUGAAGGAACGCGCC
rnacentral:ncRNA from 17 species